rnacentral:tRNA from 1 species
GCUUGCUUGGCUCAGCUGGUUAGAGCGCCGGUCUCAUAAUCCGGAGAUCACCAGUUCGAUCCUGGUAGCGAGCA